rnacentral:rRNA from 1 species
GGGUUGUGAGGUUAAGCGACUAAGCGUACACGGUGGAUGCCCUGGCAGUCAGAGGCGAUGAAGGACGUGCUAAUCUGCGAUAAGCGUCGGUAAGGUGAUAUGAACCGUUAUAACCGGCGAUUUCCGAAUGGGGAAACCCAGUGUGAUUCGUCACACUAUCAUUAACUGAAUCCAUAGGUUAAUGAGGCGAACCGGGGGAACUGAAACAUCUAAGUACCCCGAGGAAAAGAAAUCAACCGAGAUUCCCCCAGUAGCGGCGAGCGAACGGGGAGCAGCCCAGAGCCUGAAUCAGUGUGUGUGUUAGUGGAAGCGUCUGGAAAGGCGUGCGAUACAGGGUGACAGCCCCGUACACAAAAAUGCACAUACUGUGAGCUCGAUGAGUAGGGCGGGACACGUGGUAUCCUGUCUGAAUAUGGGGGGACCAUCCUCCAAGGCUAAAUACUCCUGACUGACCGAUAGUGAACCAGUACCGUGAGGGAAAGGCGAAAAGAACCCCGGCGAGGGGAGUGAAAAAGAACCUGAAACCGUGUACGUACAAGCAGUGGGAGCACGCUUAGGCGUGUGACUGCGUACCUUUUGUAUAAUGGGUCAGCGACUUAUAUUCUGUAGCAAGGUUAACCGAAUAGGGGAGCCGAAGGGAAACCGAGUCUUAACUGGGCGUUAAGUUGCAGGGUAUAGACCCGAAACCCGGUGAUCUAGCCAUGGGCAGGUUGAAGGUUGGGUAACACUAACUGGAGGACCGAACCGACUAAUGUUGAAAAAUUAGCGGAUGACUUGUGGCUGGGGGUGAAAGGCCAAUCAAACCGGGAGAUAGCUGGUUCUCCCCGAAAGCUAUUUAGGUAGCGCCUCGUGAAUUCAUCUCCGGGGGUAGAGCACUGUUUCGGCAAGGGGGUCAUCCCGACUUACCAACCCGAUGCAAACUGCGAAUACCGGAGAAUGUUAUUACGGGAGACACACGGCGGGUGCUAACGUCCGUCGUGAAGAGGGAAACAACCCAGACCGCCAGCUAAGGUCCCAAAGUCAUGGUUAAGUGGGAAACGAUGUGGGAAGGCCCAGACAGCCAGGAUGUUGGCUUAGAAGCAGCCAUCAUUUAAAGAAAGCGUAAUAGCUC